AGGAUGAAUGGUGAGAUCGUGUCAUGAGCCAAGAUUAUGAUUAAUCAAAUUCUGAGUUUCUUAGGUCCAAA
rnacentral:snoRNA from 1 species